rnacentral:rRNA from 1 species
GUGAACCAUUUCAACGGCCGCGGUAUCCUAACCGUGCAAAGGUAGCAUAAUCACUUGUCCCUUAAAUAGGGACUAGCAUGAACGGCCACACGAGGGCCUAACUGUCUCCUAUAGCCCACCAAUAAACCUGAUCUCUCAGUACAAAAGCUGAGAUAAACACAUCAGACGAGAAGACCCUGUGGAGCUUUAAGCCAUAGUAUCAACACCAAAAUUACCAUUGAUACACGCUUUUAGUUGGGGCGACUAUGGAGUAAAACAAAACCUCCACGACACCACCACUGCGUAACCUAAGACCCACACGUCAAACCAUAAAUAAAUACUACGACCCAGUCAAACUGAUCAACGAACCAAGUUACCCCAGGGAUAACAGCGCCAUCCUCCCCAAGAGUCCAUAUCGCCAGGAGGGCUUACGACCUCGAUGUUGGAUCAGGACACCCAGGUGGUGCAGCCGCUACCAAAGGUUCGUUUGUUCAACGACUAACGUCCUACGUGAUCUGAGUUUCA